UGAGCGGCUGGCUCCUGGCUGAGCGGAAGCCACCAGGCGAACGGUGCCGAGGUGCAGGACAGUUGUAUCCACCGCGGAAGACACCUCCAGAUGAUGCCGGCUGGGAGGAAGCACCUGGAGAAAGCUGAGAAGGCCUCGAGGGAGGCUGAGGACAUGGCAGCCUGUGACCCUGGCAUGCAAGAGUGGAGAGAGCUCAUGAGGCUAGAGGAGGGCCCCGAAGGACUCCAAGCAGGCACUGUGUCUGCGCUCCGGUGCGGAUGGCUAGG